rnacentral:rRNA from 1 species
GUGUGCGGUGGGGCAGUGGCGUGGGUGAGACGUAGGGUGCGGGCGUUAAUCGGAAUUACUGGGGGGAAAGCGUGCGCGUGGGGGGAUGUAAGACAGAUGUUAAAUCCCCGGGCUCAACCUGUGAACUGCGUUUGGGACUGCAGCACUCGAGUACGGCAGAGGGAGGUGGAAUUCCACGUGUAGCAGUGAAAUGCGUAGAGAUGUGGAGGAACACCGAUGGCGAAGGCAGCCUCCUGGGCCAGUACUGACGCUCAUGCACGAAAGCGUGGGGAGCAAACAGGAUUAGAUACCCCGGUAGUC